UCCUUCCUCGCCACUCCAGUGUCUGUCUUUCCUUCACAGCCCCGGCUUCUCGAGGCCUGUCUACACUCGCUGCUUUCCUUCCUCACCUCCAAUUUCCCCUCCAACCCACUGCUUCCUGACUCGCUCUUCUCCAUCGAACGGCUCUCGCUCAGGCCUGUCGCGUCUUCCUGUGCCAUUUGCUGUUGUGCUCAGGUUCCACGAGCUGCCCAUCUCCACAGAAGAGCAGCUGGCAUUGCCCACCGGCCAUGCCGGCUGAAGAAAAGAAGACUGAGGACCCCAGGAUGCCCAGCGCGAGGACCCCAGGAAGCCCAGCGCGAGGACUCCACCCACGACGCCCAGCGCGAGGACUUCACGCACAACACGUUGCAACCCUCCUGGAUUAGGCCAAAGCCAUCAUCUGGAAUCCUGCGUGGGACCCUGGACACACGGACACAGACACCUGCCCCCAGGACCCUCCAACUGUAAAUCCCUCCACAGCCACGGGGACGCCUUGCACAUUUCCUGUGGGACAUGCUGGACCCAAGACUCUGGACCCUGGCCUCCCCUUGAGUAGAGAGACCCACCUACUGACUGAUGAACUGCGCUGACCCUGGGGUCAGGCAUGUGGCCUUGAUCCCUACCCAUGGACCCUGAGACUUGGGGGGGUGGGAGAAAGGCUGUUGUGUCUUCACUGUUGAGUCUACAUCUUUGAAAUGGGCUCAGGUUCCUACCUCACAGGGCUGUUGUGAGGCAGCCGCGAUGUGCUUAGAAGCAUGGGGCCUGGUGGCUCAUGGUGCUUUCAAUAAAUUUCUUGUUUU
ensembl:lincRNA Meg3 maternally expressed 3